UGUUAAUAGCAUAUUCAUUUGACGUUAGCUGCAGAAGAAGCACCGGCUAACUCCGUGCCAGCAGCCGCGGUAAUACGGAGGGUGCGAGCGUUAAUCGGAAUUACUGGGCGUAAAGCGCAUGCAGGUGGUUUGUUAAGUCAGAUGUGAAAGCCCGGGGCUCAACCUCGGAAUUGCAUUUGAAACUGGCAAACUAGAGUACUGUAGAGGGGGUAGGAAUUUCAGGUGUAGCGGUGAAAUGCGUAGAGAUCUGAAGGAAUACCGGUGGCGAAGGCGGCCCCCUGGACAGAUACUGACACUCAGAUGCGAAAGCGUGGGGAGCAAACAGGAUUAGAUACCCUGGUAG
rnacentral:rRNA from 1 species